AAAAGUAACUGAAAAUAAAUGUGUAAAUUUUGAUUUGAUUCUGGUACAACUAAUUAGAAGCCAGAUUGUAGAUGUAAUUUGCUGCUGAAGUUGCAAUUCCAGCCUUGAACAUCUACAAGGAAUACUAAUAAUUUAUUAGACCAUUUAUAAACAAGUUUUUUUGAGCUAUGAAUGUGGGCAAACAGCUUUUCCUGCAGCUGAUGUUACUGCUUCUUUUAGGCUGGAGAAGCUUUGAUCCAAGAUAGCUGUCUCAGUAGCCUUUUCGGUUGAAUGCCUCUUAUCCAUAACCCUCAGGUUUCAUACCACUUCAUGUCCUUUACCAUUUAAUCUUUCCCCAAAUACAGUACUGCCUUCCCCAACUCCUCUAAAAAAAUCGCAUUAUUAAUGCUUUAUAUAUGUUUUGUGAUGAAAGUUAUUUGGGUUAUAUUUAUAUACUAAUUUUAUUGCUUGAUUCUUUCCAUAACGAAGCUCACAGUCUUUUCAGUAGCUCUGUUUAAAGUCUGGCAGCUUCUGUUUUAUUGCAAUAAGGCAUCCAAUAAUGUUGGAUACUAACUAUUCAGCAAGGACAACCUACACUGCCAAACUUCUUCCCAAAAUGUUAUGAUACUUCAGGUGUCAUCAAUUCAGGUGGCACUAUCUUAUAUACAACUACCAAAAUGAAAAAGCACAAUCAGAAUAUGGUUAUCAGUCCUACUGAAGGCCCAGAGAAAUCAAGCAUUACUGUACUCACACUCACAAAGUGGAUGUAGACAUGUUAGCAGGUAAUACCUUUCUUUUUAUUGAACCUGUUUUUUUUUGUUGUUGUUUGUUUUUUGUUGUUGUUGUUAUGUCUCCAGCCACCAGAAAACUACAUUACCUGCUUUUCUUGCAAUUACCAAGUCUGAAUACUUAUCCUUAACUAUGAUAUAUAUAUAUAUAUAUUUCAGGCUGGCGUAAGUGAUGCUAACAUUUACAGACUGAGAGAUCUUUAAAUAAGCUAUUAUUUUAUACACAACAGCUGGAGAACUGAGAGUCCUUGCAAGAUUGUUUCAGUUAUUCUUAGCUUGUAUAGUAAUCAUACACAAAGCAUCAUAUUGCUCCAGUCUUAUUGAGAACCCUGCCUUUACAGACAAAUACAAACACUGUGACACGCAAAAAAGCCUACGAGGUCAAAAUUACAUAAAUGCUUGAAAUAAAAACAGAGGCAGCAAGGAGACAGCAUAAAUAUGUAAUGAAUUCUGUUGGUUUAUUAGAUUUUUUUAAAUGGAGGAAGAAAUAAUGUCUGUAAACAAAUGUUGGCUUUUGGCUUUUGAUAUUGUGAAUUCAGGAAUGUCUGAUAGAGUCAUCUUUGAUGCGACUGGUGCUUUUAUGUAUAUAGUCAGUGUGGGAAGUAUUUUCUCUUGGUGCAGCAAGUCUGUAGAAAGAAAUGUUCAAGGAAAUAUUUUUAAAUACAGCUUUUAAAAAUUGUAAUGUUUAAUUAAUAAUUUUCUCCUAAAAAAUUGUCUGAGCUAAAUGCAAGAAAAAUAAAACAAAACAAAACAAAAAAAAAAAAAGAAUUAAGAAAAGAAUUCUUACUCAGAUUAUUUUGAUGGGAACCUGAAUAAGAAUAGAUUUUUCUAAUAUAUUUCUAAGGCAGGUCCUUAAGAAUCGUCAUGGAUUAGACAUCUGAGUUACUGUGUAGCCUCUUUACUGAUCCUGUCUGUCUUAAAUUAUAAUGCUAGAAAGAUAAGUAUGAUACCAUUUACAACUUCAUGGUGUAUUUUAAUACCUGACAUGUUCUAGUAUCAGUGAAAGUAAAUUUGGUACUGAAAAAUAAAAUUGCAUAUUCUUUGCCUUAGGCUUAGUCUACAUCAGGAAGAUAGUGCAUCAAGAAAUUUUUUGGCAAUUACAAAAAAUAACUGAUUCAGUUCCACUCUUCCUUUGCCCCGAUCCUUAAAGGAAAGAGCUGGUAGGCACAGUAAUCUGUUUUUGUAACUAAUAACCUUCAUUUCUAUCAAAAAUGGCUUUCGGGCAUUUUAAACAAAAAUAUUACUAACUCUCUCAGAUGACGGACCCAGUGACUUUAACACCAAAGGCAUUAUCCUAAAUUUACAGCCAAGAACUAGAGCUCUAACUGUGAGAACCAUGACAGUAUCACUUUAUACUGUCAGUUAACUCUUUCUGUAUGUACCAUAAUACCAACAAAUUGCAGUUCUUCAGCUGUUAUUAAAGAAUUUUCAAGUAGUUUUCUGCAACAGGUCCUCAAUAAUCUCAUGACACAGCACUUCAGAAACUGAAAGCAAUGGAAGGACUGUUAAGAUGAAAAAUAAAUAGAUGAACUGGGAAGUCAUUAACAUCAACAAAACUUAUCUUCCUGGCUUCACCAUGUGGUCAACAGUUGGAUGUGCAAGUGGAUACUGGUGAUGAGUGAUGUUCCUCAGGAGUCAAUAUCGGAGCUGACACUAUUUAACUUCUUUGUUGGUGACAUGGACAGUAGGAUUGACUGCACCUUCAGCAAGUUUUCUGAUGACACCAAGCUACAUGUUGUAGUCAAUAUACUGGAGGGAAAAGAUGCCAUACAGAGAAACCUUGAUAGGCUUGAGAGGCUGAACAGCCCCAGCUCUUCCAGCCUGUUCUCCUUCCAUCCUUUGGAUCAUUUUUGUGGCUCUCCUCUGGAUGUGCUCCAAUAAGUCCACACCUCUCAAGUACUAAGGACUUCACACCUGGAUGCAAUACUCCAGCACUCACUUCUACUCUUUAAAGACGACUGACAGAACAUCAUGCAAAUUUGAGUGUCAGUGACAAGCAGGGCAAGACAGUGUGAAAACUGGUGCAGGCAAGGAAACUGAAAUAACGGUCCAGAAUUAUACUUUCUCUUUUCAUUUAAAAUCUGCACACUUUAAGCAUCUGUAUACAAUGAGUGGAUUCCACAGUGACAUUCACAUUAACAUAGGAGGAUACAAAGAAAGUGAAUCAUAGAAUCAUAGAAUCGCUAAGGUUGGAAAAGACCCACAGGAUCAUCCAGUCCAACCAUGAAGCCAUGAUAUUUUCAGUGGAGCACAGUGCCAGAACCAGAGGAAAUGGGCACAAAGUGGAAAACAAUAGAUUCUAAGUGUAAAGAAAAUCAGGAAAGGAUUCUGUAGCUUUCUUUAUAAUAUUUAAGAAACCUUAAGUACUUGAUCAAGUUACUUUUUUUUUAAUCACAUUUAACCAUUAAAAGAUUAAUUAUUUUUAUUACUACUCCAGUUGAAAC
ensembl:lncRNA